UGGAGCGCAAGUCUGGUGACCAGACACCCAACUAAGGGCAACCGGGGGGCGCCGGGAGGCAGGGUCCGGGACAGGCGGUGGCUCGCCUCGCG